CUGCUCACACGCAGCAGAUGUAGACUUGAGUUUGCAAAAAUGAUUACCUGACAAAUGUGGCAGAUGUUGCAGCUGGAGAGCUUUGACAUUGCAGUUUGGGCAGUCUCCACUGGGCCUCUGGAUCCUGCAGGAGACACCGUAAGCCACCACUGGAAAUGACUGGUAGCAGGGGGCUGGAGCCUAUCUCGGCUGUCACUGGGCAGGAGGCGGAGUACAUCCUGCGCUGACACACAGAGACAGACAACCAUUCACGCUCACAUUCACACCUAUGGCCAAUUUAGAGUGCUGUAUCCUGUCUCUGGACUAUGGAAGGAGGUCGGAGAACACUAACGCUGGAAGAACAUGCAAACUCCACCUGGAUUGGAACCUGAAACUCUGUUGCAGUGAGGAGCCCAGCUUGUUACAUCAUCCAGAGGGGAGUUUAUCAGCAACUGAUCAGCAGAAGCCUGAAGACUCUCAAAGGCUGUUUUGUCUUCCUCUUGCCUGAAACUCCCUGAACCCACAGAUUACCUUCCAGCCAUGGGUAUUUGUUUACCGUGGCCUGAAUUUGCAAGUCUUUAUCAUGGCUGCCUGCCGUCACUGAGGGGAAGUGCUUUACAGGCAGUGUAUCAGUGCCAGGAGGAGAAGAAGCGCACAGCAGAAAAGGCAGAGACGGUUCAGCAAAAAAACAACUUUUCGUGAAACUAUGCUGGCAAGAAAUGCAGCAAUGGCUUGGUGAAGAACAACUGCUUUGUGUGUCACUAUCUUUGGAAGAAACACAGCGAUGGGUUGCUAAGGAACACCCCCAUUUUUUGGCUAAAAAGCUGGUGGGAACGCAGCAAGGACUUGCUAAAACCAACCAGAUUUGUGGUUGGUCUUGAACAGUGGCCUCCAGUGGUCUGCAGCUUGGUAAACAUGUCGCCUAGGUGACAUGCCAUCCACCAUUCCCUCCACCUCCCAAUGGCAGUCAGCUCAGACAUUACAUAACUUUGAGAAGCUUGUAUAUGAUACAUAUGAAACUUACAAAUGUAAUGUAUUAGUGGUUGCAGAAAUGUGCAGUGUUUCUUGAGGUGACAGGGCUGCCUGAACCCAGCAAGUAAGAAGAGAAUUAUACAGGCAGAGGGCAGGUAAAUACACUGCCACACACUUGUAGUGGGUCGUAAGUGAUGAUUGAAAGAGAUUAUUUCUGUAUGAGUCUUUAGGCUACUAGAGUCUGUUAGAAAUAGCAACAGACAGAGAAUUCAGGGUUUAUAUUUUUCUUGCAGUCUACAAAACUUUCUUAUAUGGACUUCUUGACAUUGGAUUAAGCAGGACAACCACUAAGACAGGAGCAGCCCUCUGGAACAGCACCCAGGCCUCUUCAUCACCAGCAUAUUCCGACGAUGAGCGCUGGCCAACCACAGGAUCCUGGCCUGUCUCCCAGCCAGCCCCGCUAAUUAGUCCCCCUCUUCUGAGCUAAUUGGCCGAUAAAAAAUGAGGAUGGCCUCUUCACCCAGCCGGAGUGUUUUGCCACCAAAUGGCAGUGGGGAGGAUUAUGCGGGCUUAUGAGGCAUGGUGACACUCAGUGAGAACCACUCCUCUGCUAUUAAUUUCCUUGUCAAGGGGGUCGCCUCUGCUGUGUCACUUUGGGUUUUUUAGCGGAUAGAAGAAAACUUUAGUCCGGGGUUGACUUCCAGCAAGUUACACUCAUGAAAUGCCUUUGCAUCUUAAAUGUUUUGCUGUGUUAGUUUAUGGUACGAAUUAACAAUGAGAUCAUUCAUGUGAGCAGAUGCUGAGUCUUGUAGGCGGUAUCAGUGUUACAACAUGUUACAGGCAAAGUGCACAGGGCUUAUCUUACUUUUGUGGCUUUUGAUUUUUUUGCACUGGCGGGACUGUGGGUUAGUGAUUCUGGAUUCCACAUGAAAGGCUGUCUGCAGCAGCCCAUGCCAAAAAAAUUAAGAAUAAAAAAUCUGGAUGUAGCAUCGUGGAAGUCUGGUGGUUGAGACACAAUACCACAUGAGUAACAUCGCCGGUUUGAUUCCAGCUGUGGCCCUUUGUUCCAUGUUACACCUCUUUCUUUCUCUCUCCUCAUUUCCUGUCUGUCUCUAAGGGCGUAGGUUUUGUUUCAACAUGGGGGCGGGCACAUAUGAAAUGAGUGGUUUGGCAAUCCUUUACCAGAACAUUUUGAGCAUCAAACACUUAAUUUCCUGCAUUCUGGUCAAUCUUUUUGAUGCACCAGUUUGGGCCUUUUAUGCAUCAAUUUAUAGUGAAAAUGUCUUUUCUCAGAUUAUUAUAAUACUGUAUUAUACAUUACAGUGCUAGUCUCCGACUUGGUCCUCUGGAUUGUCAUAUUAUAAAUAUCAAACACAAGAGGCUCUUCAGUUUUUUUGACUUUUGCUGCCAGGAAGAAUAUUUUGCGCUUUUGGAUCAAGGAUGCUGCUCCAACAAGAAAAAGUUGUGGCACAAUCUUAUAAUGCAGUGUGUUCCCAAUGAAUAUAUCUCUGGUAUGCUUCAUUUCUCGGUGGGUGCUUUUAUAAAGUUUGGCUGUCAUCUUUCAUAUUACAAGGGUUUCCUUAAUCUGCUUCGCCAGUCUCUGUAUGUUUCCUGUAAAUCAGUCUUUCUGUAACCUUGUUAUUUGUCUAUAUAACCAGUUAAUCUAUUUUGAUGCUGCCUCUGUGAUGUAGGGAUGGGGAUGGAUAUAAUGCCCACUAUUUCUUUCUUAUUUCUAGCUACUCAUUGGUGAUGUCAUGUCAAAGAAAGAAAGAACAUUACUAACAAAUAAAUGAAUGAAUAAAUGAUAUGUGCACCACUCAGUAUAUGCUGAAUAUGAAAAGAAAAUGCUUAACUUAUGCUCAUGAAUACUGGAAACUGGCCCAGAGACCCAAAGAGUCAGGGGGCCCCCUGGCCCUCAUUUGCAAAAUGUCAAAUGUCAAAUUUUAUUUAUUUAUUUUGCCUUUAUUUAACCAGGUCUGUCCCACUGAGAUCGAAAAUCUCUUUUUAUAAGGGAGACCUGGCCAAGAACAGCAGCAACACAGAAUUUAAACAACAAAUAAAAUUAACAUAAAAGCUCAUGGAUUUGAAUAACAUAGAAUAAUUCGAUUUCAUCAUGGUUUUAAACUCAUUCAAGGUCACCAUGUGUUGAAGCUGAAGAUCAUUUUGCAGACUGUAACACGUAC